GUGGGGAAUUUUGGACAAUGGGCGCAAGCCUGAUCCAGCAAUGCCGCGUGCAGGAAGAAGGCCUUCGGGUUGUAAACUGCUUUUGUACGGAACGAAACGGUCCUGGUUAAUACCCGGGGCUAAUGACGGUACCGUAAGAAUAAGCACCGGCUAACUACGUGCCAGCAGCCGCGGUAAUACGUAGGGUGCAAGCGUUAAUCGGAAUUACUGGGCGUAAAGCGUGCGCAGGCGGUGCUGUAAGACAGGCGUGAAAUCCCCGGGCUUAACCUGGGAAUUGCGCUUGUGACUGCAGUGCUGGAGUGCGGCAGAGGGGGAUGGAAUUCCGCGUGUAGCAGUGAAAUGCGUAGAUAUGCGGAGGAACACCGAUGGCGAAGGCAAUCCCCUGGACCUGCACUGACGCUCAUGCACGAAAGCGUGGGGAGCAAACAGGAUUAGAUACCCGGGUAGUCC
rnacentral:rRNA from 1 species